rnacentral:snRNA from 1 species
GUUCUCUUCAGCAUAACCUACAAUAGAAGAUUAGUAUGGCCCCCCCACAAAGUUGAUUUGCAAAUUCCUGAAGUGUUCCAUAUUUUU